GACAGAGGAUGCAAGCGUUAUCCGGAAUGAUUGGGCGUAAAGCGUCUGUAGGUGGCUUUUUAAGUCUGCCGUCAAAUCCCAGGGCUUAACCCUGGACAGGCGGUGGAAACUACCAAGCUGGAGUACGGUAGGGGCAGAGGGAAUUUCCGGUGGAGCGGUGAAAUGCGUAGAGAUCUGCAAGAAUACCCGUGGCGAAGGCGGCCAGCUGGGCCGGUUCUGACGCUGAGGCGCGAAAGCGUGGGGAGCAAACAGG
rnacentral:rRNA from 1 species